CAGAAUAACAGAGCUGUCAGAUCUGCCUUAUGCCCUUUGAUUAUGAGAUGGCUCUGCUCAUGCUGUCCCAGUCUAUACAGCAAAGCUGACAAACUGAAGAAAACAGUAAGUGUGAGGACAGAAAAUCCUUUUUAAAAGGUUUAUAAUAAACCCAGUAAGUCAUCACCUGAUGAUACGGUCUCUUUGGCAGUGUUAGCACCGGCCCCGGUGGUAGUUUUGCUACUGGAUUUUUAGAGGCAUAUUCCAAAAUGCCUGUAUAAAACUAAGGCGGCCAACAACAAACCAUCCACACGUGAGGUCCACUACAAUAAUGUAAGCAGAUGAAGAGAUGAACCAAAUCUGAACAGCUAACUUGUGGAUAUCAUGUCAGCGAAUCGCACAUCUGUCACGCCUAGAAUUGACUUUGAUGUCGGUGACUUCUGACAUUAAGAUGGAUGGCAAUGAGAACAAACAAGAGCAUCCUAAGGUAAACCAAGCUGGGCCUACCACUUGGAGCCCAAGUGACCACACUGAAACUUCACGUUAUUCAAGAUUUCUCAUGAGAAAGACUCAACUUGUCAGAAAAUAUCAUUAUACCAGAGCAGAAGAGACUGUGGACAACCAACAACAAGAUGGAUGGAGACUCAAGAAAAGCAGAGGACAUCUCGACACCAGGUACACUGCAUGAAGUUAGAAAACGGAUUGUUUCUAUACAAAAUCAGCAUCACUCGCUGUGUCUGGUAUUGCAGUUUAGCUCCUUUUAUUUGAAUGAAGCUCAUCUGCAGUACCAGACACAGCCAAUGGACAGGAGUGGCGCCGUUUCUGGAAAAAUAACAGCACAUCCGUUUUUCUAAUUUCAGACAACCCCCUUUAGAACUUGUGCUCACUGGUACACAAUUUCUUCUCUGAGCUUUCCUUAUAGCACUUAUACAGUAUUUCUUGUUGCUGCCCUUUAACCCCCUUGCUUUGAUUGAUUUACUCUUUUUAAUUAAUGAAAGAGACUAAAAUCAAGUCUGUGCAGCAUGGCAUAAGAAAUCUAUAGCAGAGGUAAAAAAAAAAAAUAUUUAAAA